rnacentral:lncRNA from 1 species
AAUUGCGAUUAACAAGGCAUGUCUCCAUAGAUAUAAGGAUAGAUCAGUGAAGCUCAUCAUGGACCUGACUAUAUCCAAUAGGGUCUUGUUUCUCCUUUCAGAUACCCCGUUGAGCUGAGGUAUUCCAGGAGGCAUCCAUUGAGAGACUAUCCAUUAUUCUUAAGAUAUCCAAAAAAUUUUUGACUAAGGUAUUCACCUCUAUGA